UCAUCAUUAGCAGACGAGUUUCUGUCAUCUCGUUUCCCCAACUUAAAACUGGAAUGUUAACACGGUGCAGUUCAAUAUUGAAAUAAGAGUUUUUAACACAAUUUGGUUUACAGGUUGUUGUAUAAUAUCAGCUUAGUUAACUGGUUGCGGUUAGAAGUUUCUUGCGAUACAUUUUGGUUGAAUACUUUGAUAUAGGAUAAACAUCUUACUUUAAGAAACCUCAAAGCGACAGAUUUGACCAGGUUUUUGACUUUACAUUUUUCUGAAUGUGCUGGCAAAUGAAGACUAGGAAACAUGGCAUUAACAUCAAUAAUUGUAAGUACUUUCUGGGUUGACAUUGCAAUUACAUCACAUGGAGAAGAUUUUAAUCCUUGUGACAACAUCAUUUGGAAGACAGACUCGCAUGCAAGUACAAUUUUGUACACAGAGUUCGAAGGGUCCUCAGUAGAGUCAUAUAGUGCUUUUCUGCACAUGUUGCAGUCAAAUUGACGUUCCAUUUUCACAACACAAUAUCCAGCAAUGUAUGCAAGACUUUGGAUUUUGUUCAAUUUGACAAUUUUGGUCCUCCAAUGUGGUUGAAGGAAGAAGUGAACAGUUGGAUGAUAAAGAAGCUGUCACACCACCACUUUUUAUGACGAGAAGCUUUCUCAUAAUGUACUUCACUUGGAUUGCAGUGGGAUUGUUAUUUAACCCACCCCUUAAUCGAAUAAUGCUAAAGAAAUGCUCGAGUGGAUCUUGCUGAGUAAGUCUUGUGCAUAGACAACUUAAGGAGUUGGAUUGAGUUAACACGUCCCAGGCAAGUGCUACAGUAGAUAUUAUUGUGGCUGUAAAGCCAACUGCAACUGCCUUUCGCCUACUAGUACAAACAAGUGUACCCGUAGUUUGAAAUUGUCAGUGGAGCUUUAUCGUUCGUUUGUUUCGGAUUCCACGAGUUCACGAAUACGAAACAUAACUUCUUGAGCUACGGAGCACAACUGGUAACUGAAGCUGUGUAUUUCUCAAGGUUUUCUUCGUUAAAAAGUACACCAGGGAACUGUGGGAAAUAACCCCUCGAUUCCUCGAAUUGGCUUCACAUAACUUCCGUGAAUUAUGAGUCACAUGGUCUACUCUGCCUAUACCAGAGCGAGUCCUUAUCCGGCUUUCCCUCACGAAAUUCAAAUCAUCCGCCUUACACAUUUUGAGAAUUCGUCCGCUAAAGAUGAAGGGAGGGCAUUAGCCGCUAGAUGGCGCGCCGAAAAGUGUCAUGGCGGCAUUCCCUACUAUGUGUCCCAUCUCCUUAUCUCUGGUCCAGAUCCUUUAUGCGCUAAAAAUUAGGUAUUAAAAGAAUUAUUAUUAUUUGGUAAAAAUUUAUUAUUCUUAAUUUUAUAGUAUUGAUUGAUAACAAUUGACGACAUCAAUUCACUCAUGAAUUUAUAAAUAGAAUAGUGGGAAUUUUUUUACAAUAUCUAUAGUCCAAUCUUCUGAGACGAUUACGUUAAUUUUUUUUCAAGGAGUGUUUUCCCACGCAUAGGGAUAUUAAAUGCUGAG